UAUUUUCUCCCCUCAACGUUCAAUAUUACAAAGGCUUGAAUUCAAAACUUCAAGCAUGUGAAAUCCUCGAUAAUAAGGUUUGUAAACCCAAAGACUGAAAUUGGGUUUUUGGUUCGGGAAUUAGUUAUCCCGGAUUUCAUUUUCCCGUGGUUAGUUAUCCCACCCUCAAUGUGGGAUAAAAAAUAAAGCUACAAUUCCAGAAGAAGUACUAGAUAAGUUAUGUAGCUAAUUUUAUUCCAAUCAAAUAUGGAUAAAUUCAUCCUAAAAUUAAUAUUCCUUAUCCCUCCUACCAAACUAGCCAGAGUUGGGAAAAUAUGGUUUCUUAUAAAAUUUUCCCAUCUAAAUGCUUCCUUUCCAUCACUCACUGCUCCAAAAAGGACCUAAAAAAUGACCACACUAUCUUCAAUUUAUCUUGGUACAAAACUCCCGAAAAUCUCCCUGAAUGCCGAAGUAGGUGUAUUUAGACCACAAAAGCUGUGCAGAACUGUAUGCUUAUUUGGUGGCAAAGGGAAGGCAAGCAAUGACAAUGAGGCUUCUCCAUCGAAAGCUCUUGAGAAAGCCAUGGGAAAUCUGAAGAAGGAAAAGUCAGUUGAGGAUUUAUUGAAGCAACAAAUUAAAAAACAAGAAUGAGGAGAUGGUGUUGGAGAUCGUCCAGGUGGUGGCGGUGGAGGUGGCAGUGGUGGUUUUGGUGGAGCAGAGGCUGAAGGCAUUCCAGGGAUCUUGGAUGAGCUUGGACAAGUAGGCUUGGCACCUAUGGGCUUCAUAUUGUUGUAUAUGUACAUAAUUGAAAGCGAGGAGAUCAGAGUGUUCACAAAGGAUAUUCUCAAGUUUAUCUUUCUAAGGCAAAAGAGUAUACAUCUUGGGCGCACAAUUGCAGGGUGGGAAAGCUACUUCAAAAGCCUGUCCAAGAAAGAAGUAGAUCCAUAUUGGUUGGAAAAGGAGAUUCUUAAUACCACUACUUGGUAUGACAGCCCCACAAACUAUAGGCAGAUUCUCAGACUGGUGCAAUCCGAUUCUUAUUAUUGAUAUGAAACCUUUUCAGCUUUAUCUCUGUGCUGUCACAUUUUGUACUGGUUUAAACAGUUUUUUACUGCCUGUUUGAAUAACAGAAUGAAUAACAGAAAAAACAGUUAGUAUUUUGCGUCAU